UGCAACCAGAAUUCUUAACAGUAAUGGAAUGCUUCUGUAUAUGUGUGUUGGGGGUGGGGGGAGUAAUGAUUCAUUUGUGUCCAGAUGCUGGGGGUGGGCUAAGCCACCUUUCUUUUCUAGAUGCUUGCUAUCUUUCUCAGUGGUAGAAGUGAUCCCUUGAUGAGGAUGACUGUCAUCUGUCAUAUUCUAGGAACUUUUCCAAGAUACACUGCUUCAUUUACAGUAAUGAAAUGCUUCUUAAACCAAGAUGAUAUUAUUUUUCUUCUUUCUAAGCAGUUUUGUCCAAUAUUUUUCUCAAUAUGUACACUUUGAGGUCCUAUCUUUUAGUUAAUUUUAGUUAAUGCUUUUAAAAUGGAAGAUGUCUGAGGUCAGGUAAACUCAAGACCAGGCGAUCUCCCACCUUGCAGCAUGUUCUGGUUGCCUACAUGCCACCAUGGUAGUGAUUUGAUUAUAGUGAUCUAACAUCCUUGGAUGUGCUGUUGAGCCAAAAUUGCUGCUAUAGUUGUGAUAUUUGCUUACCUGGGAAGAAAUCUCAUUGAACACAGUGAGCUGCAUAUUUCAGCCACACUGCCUUAGUGCUUUAAUUCUGAAUAUUCAUCAGUACUACUGUUUUUGAAUGUAAAAUUCCUAAUGUAAAAACUCAAGAUUCACUUCUAAAUAUUCAUGUACAGGAUUGUUCUGAGAAAUUUUGUCAAAAAUAUAUAAAAAGAAAUGUGUUUGCUUUU